rnacentral:rRNA from 1 species
UACGUAGGGUGCGAGCGUUGUCCGGAAUUAUUGGGCGUAAAGAGCUUGUAGGCGGUCUGUCGCGUCUGCUGUGAAAAUCCGGGGCUUAACCCCGGACUUGCAGUGGGUACGGGCAGACUAGAGUGUGGUAGGGGAGACUGGAAUUCCUGGUGUAGCGGUGAAAUGCGCAGAUAUCAGGAGGAACACCGAUGGCGAAGGCAGGUCUCUGGGCCACUACUGACGCUGAGAAGCGAAAGCAUGGGGAGCGAACAGG